AUUGAACGCUGGCGGCAUGCCUUACACAUGCAAGUCGAACGGCAGCACGGGUGCUUGCACCUGGUGGCGAGUGGCGAACGGGUGAGUAAUACAUCGGAACGUACCUUACCGUGGGGGAUAACGCAGCGAAAGUUGCGCUAAUACCGCAUACGCCCUGAGGGGGAAAGCGGGGGACCGUAAGGCCUCGCGCGAUUAGAGCGGCCGAUGUCUGAUUAGCUUGUUGGUGAGGUAAAAGCUCACCAAGGCGAUGAUCAGUAGCUGGUCUGAGAGGACGAUCAGCCACACUGGGACUGAGACACGGCCCAGACUCCUACGGGAGGCAGCAGUGGGGAAUUUUGGACAAUGGGGGCAACCCUGAUCCAGCAAUGCCGCGUGAGUGAAGAAGGCCUUCGGGUUGUAAAGCUCUUUUGUCAGGGAAGAAACAGCAGCUCUAACACAGUCUGCGAAUGACGGUACCUGAAGGAUAAGCACCGGCUAACUACGUGCCAGCCGCCGCGGUAA
rnacentral:rRNA from 1 species